rnacentral:lncRNA from 1 species
CUGGUUCAGUACAAACUACUUUUUACUUUUUGUUAUUCAUUCAUUGCAGCGUUUAUAUAUUAUGAUAUCAUUACAUCUGUUUUUUUCUGUAGCAUCAAAAAAAAGUCUUGCUGACCCUGAAGAGGCUUUCCGGAUAUUUAGGGCUUGGCUGCCCUUCCUUAGUGGAUGGAUGAGCCGGUGGUCAUCAUCAACCAUUCUGGAGGCUACGUUUAGCCUUAAAACUGAAGGACUCACUUCACCUGAAAUAUAUUGAAAUGCAAGACAGAGAUCAGAAAGCUGUGUUAAAAUUAAUCAUGGGAAGAGAGUAAAAACUGAUGUUAACCCAACAGCACUUGUGAAGAUAUGCUCUAAUAGCAUGGCUGAAUUCUCAUCUGGGCUCAAAAUCAAAAUAGAAGACACUGUGGGUAAGAGAAGAAACAUUAGCAACCUAAAUAAAUCUCUUAGACAAAAGUGUGUGUACUUGUGU